UUCUUCAAUCUUGGAAAACUUUCUGUCAGGCCACGGAGCUGAGUGAAGGUUUGUUGUGUUGCGUGGUGCGGUGUUUCAUUCUCUCCACUAGGGUGCGGCAAGUAGGUGCAGCUGCACACCUGUUUCCCAUUAGAGCAAUCACAUGAGGAACUUCAAAAGCUGCUGAGACCUUGGAGGAGGCGUUUGAUUGUUUACUCUGCCGAAUGGUUGCUGCCAGCUGAACCCUGCCCUGGAUUUACCUUUGAGGUUCUGCCUCAUUCUCUGUUGGCUGCCUCGUCCUUGAUAACCUGGCGUGGUUCAGUCUCCUACCAAGCUGGGAAAUACUUCAAUGAAUUUACUGCAGCUCAAGGAUCUCCCUGGAUCCACCGAAUCAGACUGCAGAAUAAUUCCAUGCUGUUUCUGUGGUUUGCUCACUUCUCCCAGCUUCAACCAAUUCAUCAAAAGUAAGCCCUGCUUCUUCCUCUUCAUCAUUCAAAUCAUCUUCCAGUUAAUAACCAUCUCUCCCUCAAUGAGCAGUUUCCUGAAACCUGAUGACCACGGAACCCUCACAUUGCCAGAAAACAUUAUUCAAUAAACCUGUUUAAACCA